GUGAGUAACACGUAGGUAAUCUGCCGUAGAGUGGGGGAUAACCCAUGGAAACAUGGACUAAUACCGCAUAUACUCUUGACACAUAAGUGUAGUAGAGGAAAGGAGUAAUGGGCUUUACGAUGAGCCUGCGGCCUAUUAGCCUGUUGGUGAGAUAAAAGCCCACCAAAGCUACGAUAGGUAGCCGACCUGAGAGGGUGACCGGCCACAUUGGGACUGAGAUACGGCCCAGACUCCUACGGGAGGCAGCAGCUGAGAAUCUUCCACAAUGGACGAAAGUCUGAUGGAGCGACAUCGCGUGAGGGAUGAAGGCCUUCGGGUUGUAAACCUCGGAAAUUAUCGAAGAAUGAGUGACAGUAGAUAAUGUAAGCCUCGGCUAACUACGUGCCAGCAGCCGCGGUAAUACGUAGGAGGCAAACGUUGCUCGGAUUUACUGGGCGUAAAGGGUGAGUAGGCGGAACUAUAAGUCUAAGGUGAAAUAUCGAAGCUCAACUUCGGGAACGCCUCGGAUACUGUGGUU
rnacentral:rRNA from 1 species